GACGGUGUGGCCGAAUGGCAAUAGGCACAGAGCUGCAACCUCUGUUAAGCAGGUUCAAUUCCUGUCGCCGUCU
rnacentral:tRNA from 1 species